rnacentral:lncRNA from 10 species
GGAGCUUGCAGUGAGCCGAGAUUGCGUCACUGCACUCCAGUCUGGGCAAGAGAGCGAGACUCCAUCUCAAAAAUAAGUAAAUAAAUAAAAUAAGAAAGUUUCUGUUUCUAGCACAGGUGCUGAGAGACAAAGGGGAAAAAUAUUGUUCAACAUUAAGCAGUCAGUAGAAGCUUGAUAGGCUUGGGGAAAAAAUUCAACAGUCAAGAUAUUGCGGUGUUAGGUAUGGAACUGCCACACACAUAUUCACAUAAGGGGUGACACCAUGUAGGACUUGUAGUCUCAACACUUGGCAUCUCAAUUUAGGAGAAUAUUAUAAACAGGGGCCUCUACUUUUGGUAGUAAAAAGCUCCGUGCUGGAACAUAACUAUCGGAGACACUUGGAACAUGAACAUGGCCUCUAACACAUACCCUUUUAAUUUCUUACAGACCUUGAAAUAGACAAAAAAAUGUUUAUUGAUACCUCUUACUUUUCCACAUUUUGUUGUUUUGUACAACCCUAUGCCUUGUCAUGGAGAAAGAGAUGUUUAAUUUUAAAUCUCGUUCUCAGGUAAUAUUUGGUAGUAGCUGGAGUCUCAAAGGCAUUUAAAUUUCUUUUUAUUGCCUUUUAUUCAUAAACAUUUAACCGUAUUUUUUUAGUAUGAAUGGGGUUCCUUUUUAGUUUCACAUUUCACUGUAAUUUAAAAUGUUUCAAAAAUGUAUUCUAAUGAAGUAAAUAAUAGAAAUCUGGGUAGCAUAUAAUCCUUGAAAUUAAGCUGUUGUGUAGAGACUGCUAAUUGACCACCAGUAUUCACUCCCAUAAUUUAAAAGUGAAACUCUCGCACAUUUUGUUUGGCUACACAGCUGCUCAGAGUCUACAUCUUCUUUUUCUUUUUUUUUUUUGAGAUGGAGUUUCACUCUUGUUGCCCAGGCUGGAGCUCAAUGGCGCGAUCUCGGCUCACUGCAACCUCCGCCUACCGGGUUCAAGCGAUUCCCCCGCCUCAGCUUCCCAAGUAGCUGGGAUUACAGGCAUGCACCACCACGCCCAGCUAAUUUUGUAUUUUUAGUAGAGACGGGGUUUCUCCAUGUUGGUCAGGCUGGUGUCGAACUCCUGACCUCAGGUGAUCUGCCCGCCUCGGCCUCCCAAAGUGCUAGGAUUACAGGCAUGAACGACCACGCCCAGCCAGAGUCUGCAUUUUCUAGCCACCUCAUUUGUAGUUAAGUUCUAGCCAAUGGGAUGUAAGUGAAAGUGAUGCAUGUGACUUUGAGAUCAUGUCCUUAAAAGUACUGGGGCUUGCAACAGGUAUAUGAAAAAAUGCUCAACAUCACUAAUCAUCAGGGGAAUGCAAAUUAAAGCCACAACGAGACAUCAUCUCAUACCUGUUAAAGUGGCCAUAAUAAAGACAAAAGAUAAGAGUUGGCGAGGGUAUGGAGAAAAGGGAAGUCUUGCACAUUGUUGGUGGGAAUGUAAAUCAGUUCAGCCAUCAUGGAAAACAGUUAUGGAGAUUCCUAAAGAAAAUAAAAAAUAGAACAACCAUAUCAUCCAGCAGUCCCAUUACUGGGUAUAAAUACAAGGGAAAUGAAAUCAGUAAUCAAAGAGAUAGCUACAUUCUUGUGUUCAUUGCAGGAUUAUUCACAAUAGCCAAGAUAAGGAAUCAAUCUAAGUGUCCAUCAAUUGGUGAAUGGAUUAAGAAAAUGUGAUAUAUAUACAUAAGGGAAUACUAUUCAGCCUUCAAAAAAGAAGGAAAUCUUGUCAUUUUUGGCUACGUGAAUGAACCUGGAGGAUAUUAUGUUAAGUGAAAUAAGCCAGGCACAGAAAGACAAAUACCACAUGAUCUCAUAAGUGGAAUCUAAAAAGUUAAAGUCAGAGAGUAGAAUGGCAGCUACCAGGAGAUGGGGGGUGGGGGGAAUUGGGAGUUAUUGGUCACGGCAUACAAAAUUUUAGGAAUAAAGUUCAACACAUCUAUUGUAGAACAUGGAGACUAUAGUUAAUAACAAUGCAGUGCCUGUAGUCCCAGCUAUUAGGAAGGCUGAGGCAGGAGGAUCACUUGAGCCCAGGAGUUCCAGGCUGCAGUGACCCCUGGUCACACCACUGCACUCCAGCCUGGCUACAGAGUGAGACCCUGACUCCAAAAACAAACAACAAUGUGUACUUGAAAAUUGCGAAGAGAGAUUUUAAGUGUUUUCACAAGUAUGUGAGGUCAUGCAUAUGUUAAUCAACUUGAUUUAGCCAUUUCACUAUACAUAUUUUGAACAGUAUGUUGUACGCCAUAAAUAUAUACAAUUUUUGUCAAUUUUAAAAAUAGAUUUUUAAAAACUACUGGAGCAUGCAUUUCCCUUGCCCUGCCUCUCCUUCUGUUGAGGUAGGAGUGAGAAUUCUGCAGCCAUUUCAGACACUGAGAGACAAGUUGUCUGUCAAGUUUGACAAAGCAGCUGUAUCGGCUGUGGACCACUCACCUCUGUAAUUUGAGAAAUAAACUUUUAUUGUGUUUAAGCCACUGUGUUUUGGGUCUUUUUAUUAAAACAACUUAGACUGUACUG